rnacentral:rRNA from 1 species
ACGAACGCUGGCGGCGUGCCUAAUACCUGCAAGUUGAGCGCUGAAGGUUGGUACUUGUACCAACUGGAUGAGCAGCGAACGGGUGAGUAACGCGUGGGGAAUCUGCCUUUGAGCGGGGGACAACAUUUGGAAACGAAUGCUAAUACCGCAUAAAAACUUUAAACACAAGUUUUAAGUUUGAAAGAUGCAAUUGCAUCACUCAAAGAUGAUCCCGCGUUGUAUUAGCUAGUUGGUGAGGUAAAGGCUCACCAAGGCGAUGAUACAUAGCCGACCUGAGAGGGUGAUCGGCCACAUUGGGACUGAGACACGGCCCAAACUCCUACGGGAGGCAGCAGUAGGGAAUCUUCGGCAAUGGACGAAAGUCUGACCGAGCAACGCCGCGGGAGUGAAGAAGGUUUUCGGAUCGUAAAACUCUGUUGGUAGAGAAGAACGUUGGUGAGAGUGGAAAGCUCAUCAAGUGACGGUAACUACCCAGAAAGGGACGGCUAACUACGUG